AUACCUUUCUCGGCCUUUUGGCUAAGAUCAAGUGUAGUAUCUGUUCUUAUCAGUUUAAUAUCUGAUAUGUGGGUCAUUGGCUCACAUGAUAUUAAAUUACUUUUUUAAAGGGGAAUGGUCACCACAAUAGCUUGCUAUUGGACCUUUCAUGUGUCACUCAUGUGUUGCACUACAGCAUGGGCUAGGCGCACCCUCU
rnacentral:snRNA from 1 species